GGCCCUGCCCUGCUUUUCUACAUCACCACUGUCUUGUCAGUUAGCUCGGCUCAGGCAUUGCAUGCCUGAUCUGUAUCUUUGGGAAUCCUGUGAGGUAAUGGUUCUAGAUCCAAAAGAAUGGAUAAAGAGACUGUUUCAGUUCCCGAAAUUAUCCAGGCACAUUCUGUGCGCUACUGAACUUCAGAAAGCACCAGUCCAUCCAGUGUGCAGAGGCUGAUGAAAAAGUUAAUAAACAGAAUGGCGACUCCGAUGUUGAGCAAGAUCACCAUGACCACCAGGAUAGGCGCUGAGCCCUGGAAGAGAGCGAGGGGAAGAGGUGAGCGACAGCUGCGGGGGGCUCUGCCUGGGCCACCACGCCUCCCACCCACGUCUUUUCACCAAGCUAGCA
rnacentral:lncRNA from 1 species